rnacentral:rRNA from 1 species
UACGAAGGGGGCUAGCGUUGCUCGGAAUUACUGGGCGUAAAGGGAGCGUAGGCGGGUUAUCAAGUUGGAGGUGAAAGCCCAGGGCUCAACCUUGGAAUUGCCUUCAAAACUGAUAGCCUAGAGUAUGAUAGAGGUAAGUGGAACUCCGAGUGUGGAGGUGAAAUUCAAAGAUCCCAUAGGGGCCACCAGAUGGCGAAGGCGACUAUUCAGAUUACACUGACAUUGAGGUACGGAGGCAUGGAGAUCAAACGGG